rnacentral:lncRNA from 1 species
UUCAGACUCCUGGGCCAGACUACAUUUAAUCAUAGGACCUACUGAAGAGAUGAGUCUUCAGUAAAGACUUUAAGGUUGAGACCGAGUCUGCGCCUCUCACAUGGCCCCUCCUCUCUCUGUCUCUCUCUUCGUCCCUCUCUCUCUGCCCCUCUCUCUCUGCCCCUCUCUCUCAAUGUCCCGCCUCUCUCUGUUCCUCUCUCUCUCUGUCUCUCUCUCUGCCCCUCCUCUCUCUGUCUCUCUCUCUGUCCUUCUCUCUCUGUCCCGUUUUCUCUCGGUCCCGCUUUCUCUCGGUCCCUCUCUCUGUCUCUCUCUCUGUCCCUCUUCUCUUUGUCCCUCUCUCUCUCUGUCCCUCUCUCUCUGCCACUCAUCUCUCUGUGCCUCUAUCUCUCUGUCCCUCUCUCUCUCUCUCUCUCUCUCUCUCUGUCCCUCUCUCUCGCUGCCCCAUCUCUCUUUGCUCAUCUUUCUCUCUGUCCCUCUCUCUACCCCUCCUGUCUCUGUGUAUCUCUCUCUCUGCCCCUCCUGUCUCUGUCCCUCUCUCUCUCUGUGUCCCUCUCUCUCUCUACCCCUCCUCUCUCUGCUCCUCCCCUCUCUGUCCCUCUCUCUCUGCCCCCCUCUCUCUGCCCCUCCCCUCUCUGCCCCCCUCUCUCCAUCGAUGCCAUUAAUGUCACACAGUCGUGUCAAUAAGGGUUUCAUCUCAUUUCCAGAUGCCGACCUACAAUAGAUCAUUGUGUUAAAGUUACAGGAAGUGGUGAUUCUACACGUGCAGGUGGACCUCCUAUUUCUGCUCACUGGUUCCAGUAGGUUUACUGGUAGGUCAACGGAACAGCCACUUCCUGUUUCUCAGAACACCGCCACUACUUGUAACAGUUCCAGGACGUUUCACCACAUCGCCCGCCAGUAGACUCCUGGGGCCUGUACGGCACAAGCCUUGUGUUGCGUGUGAAACCAAGAAUGACCAUAGUCAAGAGAGUAUGAACUUUACAUAGCACCCUAUAAUCAUCUAACCUGGAGUGUUUAGUGGAACUAUCGUCUAUCUGGAACAAACCGUGAAUACAGUCUCUAACUAUUGUCUAUCUGUGCUGACUCCUCACCUCUGUUUCUGGAACAAACCGUGAAUACAGUCUCUAACUAUCGUCUAUCUGUGCUGACUCCUCACCUCUGUUUCUGGAACAAACCGUGAAUACAGUCUCUAACUAUCGUCUAUCUGUGCUGACUCCUCACCUCUGUUUCUGGAACAAACCGUGAAUACAGUCUCUAACUAUCGUCUAUCUGUGCUGACUCCUCACCUCUGUUUCUGGAACAAUCUAUGAAUACAGUCUCUAACUAUCGUCUGUCUGUGCUGACUCCUCACCUCUGUUUCUGGAACAAUCUAUGAAUGCAGUCUCUAACUAUUGUCUGUCUGUGCUGACUCCUCACCUCUGUUUCUGGAACAAACUGUGAAUACAGUCUCAGUUAAAGCGUGAACAUUGCCUU